rnacentral:rRNA from 1 species
AUUGAACGCUGGCGGCAGGCCUAACACAUGCAAGUCGAACGAGUGGUGGACGGGUGAGUAAUGUCCGGGAAAUUGCCCGACGGACGGGGUUAAAUACUGGAAACGGUAGCUAAUAACGCAUACCACAGGAUGUGCCCAGAUGGGAUUAGCGAGUAGGUGGGGUAACGGCUCACCUAGGCGACGAUCCCUAGCUGGUCUGAGAGGAUGACCAGCCACACUGGAACUGAGACACGGUCCAGACUCCUACGGGAGGCAGCAGUGGGGAAUAUUGCACAAUGGGCGCAAGCCUGAUGCAGCCAUGCCGCGUGUAUGAAGAAGGCCUUCGGGUUGUAAAGUACUUUCAGCGAGGAGGCGUUACUCGCAGAAGAAGCACCGGCUAACUCCGUGCCAGUAGCCGCGGUAAUUC